GGUGAGAUGGCCGAGUUGGUUAUGGCGUGAGGUUAAGGUGAUCACCCUUAGCAUUUAGCAUUUGAUGCAUCUAGCAUUCAAUUCCUCAUGGAGCAAUCCGCGUGGGUUCAAGUCCCACUCUCAUCA